rnacentral:rRNA from 1 species
ACGCUCGACACCUACGAGGCAGCAGUGGGGAAUAUUGCACAAUGGGGGAAACCCUGAUGCAGCGACGCCGCGUGAGCGAAGAAGUAUUUCGGUAUGUAAAGCUCUAUCAGCAGGGAAGAAACUGACGGUACCUGACUAAGAAGCACCGGCUAAAUACGUCNCAGAGCGCGAUNUGAGNGGCGNGNGAG